rnacentral:rRNA from 1 species
AUACGGAGGGUGCAAGCGUUAUCCGGAAUCAUUGGGUUUAAAGGGUCCGCAGGCGGAUUAAUAAGUCAGUGGUGAAAUCCUCUCGCUCAACGAGAGAACUGCCAUUGAAACUGUUAGUCUUGAAUGCGGUCGAAGUAGGCGGAAUGUGUCAUGUAGCGGUGAAAUGCAUAGAUAUGACACAGAACACCGAUAGCGAAGGCAGCUUACUAGACCUGGAUUGACGCUCAUGGACGAAAGCGUGGGGAGCGAACAGGAUUAGAAACCCUAGUAGUCC